CCUACGGGUGGCUGCAGUAGGGAAUUUUCGGCAAUGGGGGGAACCCUGACCGAGCAACGCCGCGUGAAGGAAGAAGGAAUUCGUUCUGUAAACUUCUGUUAUAAAGGAAGAAAGACGGAUGGAGGAAAUGACAUCCGAGUGACGGUACUUUAUGAGAAAGCCACGGCUAACUCCGUGCCAGCAGCCGCGGUAAUACGUAGGUGGCAAGCGUGAUCCGGAAUUAUUGGGCGUAAAGAGGGAGCAGGCGGCAGAAAAGGUCUGUGGUGAAAGACUGAAGCUUAACUUCAGGAAGCCAUAGAAAACGGGCAGCUAGAGUGCAGGAGAGGAUCGUGGAAUGCCAGGUGUAGCGGUGAAAGGCGGAGAGAUAGGGAGGAACACCAGUGGCGAAGGCGACGAUCUGGCCUGCAACUGACGCUCAGUCCCGAAAGCGUGGGGAGCAAAUAGGAUUAGAUACCCGAGUAGUC
rnacentral:rRNA from 1 species